CCCAGGGCGGCGUGCUUACACAUGCAGUCGCACGAGAACGCUUCAGCUUGCUGAAGCUAGUAAAGUGGCGUACGGGUGAGUAACGCGUGGGUAAUCUACCUCCGAAUUGGGGAUAACGUUGCGAAAGCGACGCUAAUACCGGAUAACAUCUUAAGGGCUUCGGCCUUUUUGAUCAAAGGUGGCCUCUUCAUGAAAGCUACUGUUUGGAGAUGAGCCCGCGUCCCAUUAGCUUGUUGGUGGGGUAACGGCCCACCAAGGCCGCGAUGGGUAGCUGGUCUGAGAGGAUGAUCAGCCACACUGGAACUGACACACGGUCCAGACUCCUACGGGAGGCAGCAGUGAGGAAUUUUGCGCAAUGGGGGAAACCCUGACGCAGCAACGCCGCGUGAGUGAUGAAGGCUUUCGGGUCGUAAAGCUCUGUCAAGUGGGAAGAACCACUUUGAGGUUAAUAUCCUCGAGGUCUGACGGUACCACUGAAGGAAGCACCGGCUAACUCCGUGCCAGCAGCCGCGGUAAUACGGGGGGUGCAAGCGUUAUUCGGAUUUACUGGGCGUAAAGCGCGCGUAGGCGGCCGUUUAAGUCAGAUGUGAAAGCCCGGGGCUCAACCCUGGAAGUGCAUUUGAUACUAUUCGGCUUGAGUAUGGGAGAGGGAAGUGGAAUUCCUGGUGUAGAGGUGAAAUUCGUAGAUAUCAGGAGGAACACCGGUGGCGAAGGCGACUUCCUGGACCAAUACUGACGCUGAGGCGCGAAGGCGUGGGGAGCAAACAGGAUUAGAUACCCUGGUAGUCCACGCAGUAAACGGUGAUCACUAGGUGUAGCGGGUAUUGACCCCUGCUGUGCCGCAGCUAACGCAUUAAGUGAUCCGCCUGGGGAGUACGGCCGCAAGGUUAAGACUCAAGGAAUUGACGGGGGCCCGCACAGCGGUGGAGCAUGUGUUUAUUCGACGCACGCGAGAACUUACUGAUUGACACUCGGAUUCUUAUGAAAUAGAGUGUCUCGGGAGCCGAUGACAGUGCUGCAUGCUGUCGUCAGCUCUGUCUGAGAUGUGCUAAGUUCCGCAACGAGGCACCCUCCUUAGUACAGACUUCGGUGGGACUAAGAACUGCCCGCUCACAGGGAAAGAUGGAUACCUAGCUCAUGCUAUGUCAGG
rnacentral:rRNA from 1 species